AUGAAGAGAGCAAGAGACAUUCGAGAUCAACUGGAGGGACUUAUGGAGAGAGUUGAGAUUGAGGUCUGUUCAAAUGCCAGUGACUUGGAUGCUAUUAAAAAGGCUAUAACAUCCGGUUUCUUCCACCAUUCUGCACGGUUGCAGAAGAAUGGUUCAUAUAGAACUGUCAAGAACCCUCAGACGCUACUUCCUCGUUGGGUAAUAUACCACGAACUAGUUCUCACGACAAAAGAGUACAUGCGCCAGGUGACGGAACUGAAGCCCGAAUGGCUGGUGGAAAUUGCUCCGCACUACUACCAACUAAAAGAUGUGGACGACGCUGGUUCAAAGAAGCUGCCCAAGGGCCAAGGACGAGCUGCAUUGUAG
rnacentral:rRNA from 1 species